rnacentral:rRNA from 1 species
GACGAACGCUGGCGGCGUGCUUAACACAUGCAAGUCGAACGAUGAAGAAGAGAAACGCGAACUUCGGUUCAAAUUUCACUUCGGAUUAGUGGCAGACGGGUGAGUAACGCGUGAGCAACCUACCUCUUACAAAGGGAUAGCCUCGGGAAACCGUGAUUAAUACCAUAUGACACAUUCAUAAGGCAUCUUAAGAAUGUUAAAGCUACGGCGGUAAGAGAUGGGCUCGCGUCCCAUUAGCUAGUUGGUGAGGUAACGGCCCACCAAGGCGACGAUGGGUAACCGGCCUGAGAGGGUGAACGGUCACAUUGGAACUGAGACACGGUCCAAACUCCUACGGGAGGCAGCAGUGGGGAAUAUUGCACAAUGGAGGGAACUCUGAUGCAGCGACGCCGCGUGAGCGAUGAAGGAAUUCGCUUCGUAAAACUCUGUUCUAUGGGAAGAAAAGGACUGUACCAUAGGAGAAAGCCCCGGCUAAAUACGUG